rnacentral:rRNA from 1 species
UACGGAGGAUGCAAGCGUUAUCCGGAAUCACUGGGCGUAAAGCGCCUGUAGGUGGUUAAAUAAGUCAACUGUUAAAUCUUGAGGCUCAACUUCAAAAUCGCAGUCGAAACUAUUAGACUAGAGUAUAGUAGGGGUAAAGGGAAUUUCCAGUGGAGCGGUGAAAUGCGUAGAGAUUGGAAAGAACACCAAUGGCGAAAGCACUUUACUGGGCUAUUACUGACACUGAGAGACGAAAGCUAGGGUAGCAAAUGGG